GACGGAGGAUGCAAGCGUUAUCCGGAAUGAUUGGGCGUAAAGCGUCCGCAGGUGGCAGUUCAAGUCUGCUGUCAAGACCGGGGCUUAACUUCGGAAAGGCAGUGGAAACUGAACAGCUAGAGUAUGGUAGGGGCAGAGGGAAUUCCUGGUGUAGCGGUGAAAUGCGUAGAGAUCAGGAGGAACACCAAUGGCGAAGGCAGCACUCUGGGACGUGACUGACGCUGAGACGCGAAAGCGUGGGGAGCAAACAGG
rnacentral:rRNA from 1 species